ensembl:miRNA Mir8093 microRNA 8093
AGAGAAGGUGAGUGUCUUUCUUAGCCCUGUGUCUGAGUCCUCGGGGAGCAGAGCAUGAGUGGAGGGGCUCCCUGCUCCCUGCGUGCCGUCUGCUCUCCUACAGGUGGACCUGGCAGUGGUGGAGGUGGGCAUUGGCG